AUCUAACAAAAGAACUGUAAAGAGAGCAAGAGGCUCGAGCUGGCUUCAACCCACAGGCUGGGAUAGAGUUAAUUUUCUUCACAGCAGCUUACAUGAUGCUGUCUUUUACCUUUUUGACACUGCUGGUAACACACUAGCUUUUGCUGAGCAAUGUCUGCACAGCUUCAAGGCCUUCUCUGUUUCUUAUCCUGCCUCCUGAUGAAUGAACAGAGGGGUAUGCAACAGCUUAGGAGGGGAGACUCUAAACUAACCAAAGAAAUAUUCCAUACAGGAUUAUGCUCAGCAUUAACAUGGAAAAGAGGGAGUUCUAUGAGGGCUGGCUGCCUUUUGCUCAGGAACUGGCUGGGCAUCAGCCUAUCCAUGGCAGGUGGGAUGGAACAUCUGAAAUAAGCUGUUCAGGGAGUACUGGACUCUGACAGGCUUUAAAGCCAAAACCCUGCUGCUCAGGAGAACCUGGAAGAUUUGUCAGUUCCUGUUUCCUCAUAGCUGGUGCGUGGAGAGCAAGGAGUGAGCAGCUACACAGUGCUUAGUGACUGGCUACAGUUAAGCCACAACAUCUCUUUAGGCUGAAGAAGGAAAUGGGCCCCCACGUGCUAGCCUCCAUCAUUUCUUGGGAAAGAGCCAACAAACUGGGUUUUGGUCAGGCCUCUUAUCCUUUAUCAAAAGCUUCUCUUAAGGCAUCAGUGCAACUCACAUCAGGGAGGAGGAAAGGAUCAUUCUGGAGGAGCAGCACUCGCAGCUCAUUCUCAUCGAGACCAGACAAGCCGUGGGACUUAAGAACUUUUUUGUUCUCACCACUGAUGAUGUCAUGUGAGUAUUUACAACCUCUGUAAGAAAAUACACAGAAAUAUCAGUCUUUGCUUCUUCAGUCAAGUUGAUUUAAAGAACCUCAGAUAGAUAACGCGGGAAAUAAAAUAACACAAGAGUGGCAGGGAAGACUGCAAACACGCUCAAAGGACUUGCAGCUGGGGUGAACAAAAACAUACACAACAUUCAAACUGUUGCCUGUCCUUGUGUGUUUGACGAGUAGAAGUUCUGUGUUCAGGUAACACAGGCCUGUAAUAGGCUCAGACACAUGCUUGAGAUUCCUGCCCGGCUGCAGGAGAGACCAAAGCAAAGUAGCAAGCAUCCUUGCUUGAGUGCCUCUGCCUGGGUGCUGCUUCAGUGAUGAAGGGAAUGAAAAUAAAUUUACUCUUUGCAUUUCAUCCGUGGUUUGUGGUUGCUCCUGCACCCUGCCUGUGCCACCUCACACCAUGUGCAGCUUUGGAAAAGCCA